UACGGGGGGGGCAAGCGUUGUUCGGAAUUACUGGGCGUAAAGGGCUCGUAGGCGGCCAACUAAGUCAGACGUGAAAUCCCCCGGCUUGACCUGGGAACUGCGUCUGAUACUGGACGGCUUGAGUAUGGGAGGGGGAUGUAGAAUUCCAGGUGUAGCGGUGAAAUGCGUAGAUAUCUGGAGGAAUACCGGUGGCGAAGGCGGCAUCCUGGACCAUUACUGACGCUGAGGCGCGAAAGCUAGGGGAGCAAACGGG
rnacentral:rRNA from 1 species